rfam:Equus caballus chromosome 16, whole genome shotgun sequence.
GCCCUGGUGGUCUAGUGGUUAAGAUUCAGCACUCUUACCUCCGUGGCCCAGGUUCGUUUCCUGGUCAGGGAA